rnacentral:rRNA from 1 species
GAGGGAUAUUGGUCAAUGGGCGCAAGCCUGAACCAGCGACGCCGCGUGGGUGAAGAAGGUCUUCGGAUCGUAAAGCCCUUUUCCCACUGAAGAGGAAGGACCGUAGGUGGGGAAGAAGUCUCGGCUAACUACGUGCCAGCAGCCGCGGUAAAACGUAGGAGACAAGCGUUAUCCGGAGUUACUGGGCGUAAAGGGCGUGCAGGUGGCGUCUUAAGUCUGUUGUGAAAGCGCCUGGCUUAACCGGGCGAGGCCAAUGGAGACUGAGAGGCUGGAGGACGGCGGAGGGGUGUGGAAUUCCGGGUGUAGUGGUGAAAUGCGUAGAGAUCCGGAGGAACACCAGAGCCGAAGGCGGCACUCUAAGCCGUACCUGGCACUGAGACGCGACAGCACGGGGAGCAAACG